CAGUGAAACUGCCUGCAGAUCAUUUCAAUCUGGGCUCAAGCAAAAAUUGUUGCUGGUAUUCAAUGAAGGGAGUCAUAGAGAUUAUCUCAAAUAUGGUGGUGAACAUUUCUUUACAGUAUUGGUAACUGAGAAUUUCACAUUCAUCAAAAUAAUGAACGUUAAAUACAUCAUUCUUCUUCUAACCUUAUUGAUAACAAUGACUACAGAAUGUGAAGGAGUCCAGCAGUUUGCACAUUGGGCAGAAAUACAGCCAGCAGAAGAUAUCAGUGAAUCAGUAAACCGUGUCAUUCGAUGUUCAGGUUGCAAACGGUCUACUACGAGAGAAAACAAACGUAUCCGACCUAAACUCUCCCGCAAAGGUCCGCUACCCUUUUAGAAUCAGGCACUCUAUUGCUCCCAGCGCUUAUUUUCUACAAAGAUCAUGUUCUGUGCCAUCUAGGAAUAGAACUAUCAAGGACAAACAUCCCUUUACCAUCUCUUUGAGGAAUACAAUCUAUAUUUCUGUUGGGAUGCAUACAAUAUCAGUUUCACCUGUUCACUACCGUUAUAACAGAAGGAUCACACUUUUUAACCAAAUGUGAAUGUGCAACAUAAUCAAAGGACAACAUUCUUUGUGACACGAUUCAUGGCACACAACAUUUUCUCUACAUAUUUCCAAGUGACCAAUUCCAUCUAUAAGCAAAACAAUCUUAAAGCUGUUUCAGCUCUACAUUCUCAGCAGGCUCCUGGUAAUUGACACUGUCUGGGAAACAAAUUAUUUCUGAUGAUCAGUGGGCCAAUUCAUAAGGAGUAAUUAUAUCUUUUAAAAUACAAAAAACGUGGAGCCAACAUAAUUUGCCACUUACGGUUAUUUCACAUUUGAAAUAACUGUCAGUUAGAUAGGGACCUGCUUCAAUUGUCUCUGAACUAUUAGUGGAGCAAGAGAAAUAGUGGCAAAGUGCACUUAAUAUUAUCUGGGGUUCAGUUAAAUAACUCCAGUUACAUAUUUAAGUGACAUGGCUGUACUUGUCUAUUUCAUAAGUAAUGACAAAAAUAUGGAUAAGGAAAAAUAUGGAUAAGGUUCAGGAAAAAUUUAAAUGUCCUAUAUACUCUGAAGGCUUUGCUUAAACUUGUGGUACAUCCGUGAUAGUAACAUUUUAAUUAAAAAAUUAUCAUUUGUG